rnacentral:lncRNA from 1 species
UCUCACCGAAUCUCUCUCUCUCUCUCUCUCUCUCUCUCUCUCUCUCCCUCUCCCUCUUUCACACUCAUUUCUGACCUUAUUCUUUUGAAAAAAGCACAAGCUUCACCAACAAGCCUCACCCUCUUAGAUGCCCUCAAUCGACUCUCCCCCUCUCGAAGUCGACUCUCUACCCUUUUAGAUGUCAAUCCCUCUCUCCUCUGUUGAGUCCACGACUCCGCGGGUACGUUCGUUCCUCCAACGGAAACAAUGGUGAGGUUAUUCUAUGAAACAUUUUAUGUUUGGGGUAAUGCUUCUGAUAAUUCAGGUUGUGUUAUUGUUAUUACUUGCUUGUAAUCUUAUAUCUGAAAUCACAGUGGAGAAAAUUGGAUUUUAUUUUGCAUUUUAUGUUUUCUAAAAUUGAUAGAUUUGAUUUGAACAACAGUGUAUGAAAUUGUGCACUCAGAUGAUUUUUUUUCUUCUCCGUAUUGAUUUAUAAGAGGUUAUGCGAUGCUUGGAAUUUAUGUCCUCUUUAUAUUGUGGUUUUACUGAUUUUAAUUUGAUUAAUUAUGGGUCUAGCUGUUUUUUAUUUUAGAGGUUUGAUGUUCCAAGGAUGUUGAGAGCUCAGAUUUGUGUGGGUGUUCUUUCCAAGGUAUGACACCGGAUGCUAGCAGAAAGUGGCAGUGGAGCUUGUCCAGAAAAAUAUGUUGGCGCCAAUAUUGGAUGAUAUUCAUGUGGAGGUUGAGAUAGGAAAACCUCAAUUUUGUUAGAUUUUAGAUGCUGUUAUCUUGUAAAACGUUAGACAACUUCAGUCACUUAAUAUUGUUGAAAAGAUUAUUCUAAUGGGAGCCAUUUUCUUCUGUCGAAGAUGCUCCACUCACAGUGCAUCGUGGACAGCAUGUCGUGGACAGCAAGGGUCUUCACAUGGAUGCUCUGACUGCAGCAUUGUGGACAGCAAAGAUGCCUCUUCCAAUAUAUUUUUUUAUUGCAUGCGUGUGUAAUAAUAUGUAUAUAAAUCUCUGCUGCCAUUGUAGCAGAACAAUGAAUUAGAAAUAUUCAAUCCAUUUUAUAUGGUAUCAAGAGCAAGGUUAAUUCAAGCAGACUAGCUUCUUCCCGCUGCAUUUUUUUUCUACAAUUUUUUUCUUCUGUGUCGUUGUUCUUUCAUGGGUGACGAACAGAUUUUGGAUGGAAAUAAAUCCAACAUUUCCAGUCCUUUUUUCAUUCACCAUUCCGACCAUCCAGCGAUGGUUCUCGUCUCCAAACUUCUCAAUGGAGACAACUACUCCACUUGGUGUCGUUCUGUAAAGCUUUCUCUGAGUGCUAAGAACAAGCUGGGUUUUGUGGAUGGUACACUGGAAGCUCCUGAUGAAAAGACGAAACCAAAUGACUUUGCUUCCUGGAAACGCUGCAACGACAUGAUCGUUUCCUGGAUCUUGAAUUCAGUUGAGCAGACUAUCCAUGAUAGCAUUGUCUACUACACCACACCCCAAGCGAUUUGGCAGGAUCUUGAAGAUCGUUUCAGCCAAGGUAAUGCACCCAGAAUUUAUCAAAUUCAACGAGAAAUAGCUUCUAUUUCUCAGGACCAAUUAUCUGUUGCUGCUUACUAUACCAAACUAAAGAGUUUGUGGGAUGAACUUGCAUCCUACAAUGAUCAUGAGUCUUGCACCUGUGGUGCUUUAAAGAAGCAAGGCGAUCAAGCGGAGAAAACCAGAUUGAUGCAAUUCCUCAUGGGCCUCAACGAGUCUUAUGGUGCUGCGCGUGGCAACAUUCUGAUGAUGAAACCAUUGCCCUCUGUGCGUUCAGUGUAUUCCAUGAUUGUCCAGCAAGAAAAACAACGCGAUGUAAGCGAUUCACGUGAAGCUGCAGAGAUAUCAGCAAUGGCAGUUCGUCCAUGGCAGCAGUCGUCGCAACCUGGCAACAGCUCAUCUUCCCGUAGACAACUCCACUGCACUUAUUGUGACACCGCCCACCAUACCAUUGAUACAUGCUACAAACUGCACGGAUACCCUCCCGAACAUCGUCUUCAUCGUAGCAACAGAGGUGGUGGACGUGGGAACAACAGUGGUGGACGCAACAAACGCCAUGGAAGUUCUGCCAACAAUACCACCAAUGGGGCUUCUCUGCAAGAACUGCAUUCCGCUGUACCUGGCCUCUUUGACCAACAAUUCCAGAAGAUACUGUCCAUCAUGAACAACAAUGAGACAACACAGAAUCCUCCCAAAGCCAAUGCCGCCGUCAAUGCCACUGAAAACUCAUCAGGUUUGUCAAAACCUCUGAAGCACCUACGUCGAUGGAUAAUCGACAGUGGUGCGACGGAUCAUAUUACAUCUUCACCAACUUCACUCACUCGUUGUCUCAAAAGUGUCAACUUACCACCUGUUCAAAUGCCUAGUGGACAGACAGCUCCUAUCACAUCCAUUGGGAAUUUAUCUUUAAAUUCUUCAGUUCAUUUGCAAGACGUAUUAUGUGUGCCAACUUUCAAUGUUGAUUUAAUGUCUGUAAGCAAGGUCACUAGUGCCAUGGCUUGUUCAGUAACCUUUUUCCCUUACUGGUGCAUUUUGCAGGAUUUGGCUACGAAGAAAACGAUUGGUUUGGGUAAACAGCAUGGAGGACUGUAUUACUUGGUGGCGCUGCUUUCAGAUAGGCCAACACCUUUUGUCAAACCUUCAUGCAGCCUUGUCACCUCCUCCACUGAAUUGUGGCAUCGACGUUUGGGUCACAUAUCGCCAUCUAGAUUAGAGUUUAUGGCAAAAAAUAUCUUGCAUAUCCCUUUCCAGUUGAAUGAUGCUUGCGACAUAUGUCCAUUGGCCAAGCAACAUCGUCUUCCUUUUGGCAUUAGUUCAAUUACUACUAAGAAACCUUUUGAUCUCAUCCAUUGUGACAUUUGGGGUCCUUAUAAGAUAAGUUCUCUUUCUGGAGCCAAUUAUUUUUUAACAGUGGUAGAUGAUUAUUCUAGGUUUACAUGGGUUUUCCUUAUGCAUCAUAAAAGUGAAACACAAAACCUACUCAAACGUUUUUUUUUCCUUUGUGCAAACACAAUUCCAAACACAAAUCCGAACAAUUCGAACCGAUAAUGGUGGGGAGUUCCUUUCUUUACGUCAUUUUUUAAAGGAUAUUGGGGUUGUUUUUCAACAUUCAUGCGUCUAUACGCCUCAACAAAAUGGGGUUGUAGAACACAAGCAUCGUCAUAUUCUUGAAAUGGCACGUGCUUUGCGUUUUCAAGCUAAUUUUCCAUUACAUUUUUUGGGGGAUUGUGUGUUAACCGUUGUACACCUUAUAAACAGAUUCCCAACUCCCCUUCUCCAUUACAAAACCCCUUAUGAACUACUUUAUGCCAAACCUCCUACCUUUUCUCAUAUACGUGUGUUUGGAUGUCUUGCCUAUGCAACCAAUGUACAUGUUUCUCAUAAGUUUGAUGCCCGAGCUCGGCGUUGUGUAUUUCUUGGUUAUCCUUUCGGCCAAAAGGCAUACAAACUUUAUGAUUUAACAACAAAACAGAUUUUUACGAACCGGGACGUCAUUUUUCAUGAAAAUACCUACCCUUUUCAGCCCUUGCCAACUUCUCCCACGGUAACACCACCUACAAACAUGCCUUUUUACCUCAUUUUCGAUCCCAUUCCUUCUCCAUCCACUCUAGAACCGUCUACUUCACCAUCCCUUCCUGCCUCAUCCCCUUCUAUCCUUUCAGACGCUUCUUCACCCCAUCCCACCACCUCUGACACACCUCCCCCCAAUCCCAUAAAUCCUCCUAUUUCCCCUGAUGACAGUAUCGCUCCAUUAGACUCUCCUGGGCGACCCCAACGCCAUCGCACUGCUCCUGCUUACCUCGGUGAUUAUGUAUGCUCCCAAGUGACGUUGACCACACCCAAACCAUCGUCGUCUUCGUUGUCCAAUCUUUGUAAAGGUACACGGUAUCCAUUGCGUAAUUUCUUAUCUUAUCACCGUUACUCACCAAGUCAUUUUGCUUACAUUGCUCAUGUUACUCAUGAUGAGGAGCCUGACACAUAUCCAAGGGCCGCUUCUAGCCCCCACUGGCAGGCCGCAAUGCAAUCUGAACUACAGGCGUUGGCAGAUAAUCACACUUGGACUCUUACUUCUCUUCCUCCUGGAAAAUCUCCUAUUGGUUGCAGAUGGGUUUAUAAGAUCAAACGGCGUUCUGAUGGAACCAUUGAGCGUUACAAAGUGCGUUUGGUGGCCAAGGGCUACACUCAGAUGGAAGGCAUUGAUUACCAUGAUACUUUUUCACCUACAGCUAAAAUGACUAUUGUUCGCUGUCUGUUAGCUCUUGCUUUUGCUCAAAAUUGGUCCCUUCACCAACUAGACGUUAAUAACGCAUUUCUGCAUGGCGAUCUUCAUGAGGAAAUCUAUAUGUCACCCCCUCCUGGUCUUCUGCGACAGGGGGAGAGUUUAGUGUGUCGCCUCAACAAGUCGUUGUAUGGUUUAAAGCAAGCUUCUCGUCAAUGGUUUGCCAAGUUCUCCACUGCUAUUCAAACUGCAGGUUUUGUACAAUCCAAAGCCGAUUACUCCCUUUUUACUCAUCGAAAAGGAAAGUCAUUCACAGCCCUUUUAAUUUAUGUGGACGACAUCGUCAUUACUGGAAAUAAUAUGGCUGCCAUAUCCUCUCUUAAAAGAUUCCUACAUAGUCGUUUUCGAAUCAAAGAUCUCGGAAAUUUGAAAUAUUUUCUGGGGAUUGAAGUGUCACGUUCACAUAAAGGUAUUUCCCUCUCACAACGGAAAUACGCUUUGGAGAUUUUGAAGGACGUUGGCCUCUUGGGAGCACGGCCAGUGGACUUCCCAAUGGAACAAAAUUUGAAGCUUUCAGACAAAGGGGAACUGCUUAAAGAUCCGUCUCAGUAUAGAAGAAUUGUUGGGCGUUUGAUCUACUUGACCAUCACUCGCCCCGACAUUACUUAUUCUGUGCAUGUGUUGAGCCGUUUUAUGCAUGAACCACGUAAGCCACAUAUGGAGGCAGCACUUCGUGUUCUAAGGUAUAUCAAAGGCACACCGGGUCAGGGCCUUUUCUUUUCCUCACAUCACAAUCUAGCUCUGACAGCUUAUUGUGACUCGGACUGGGCAGGUUGCCUAAUCACCCGAAGGUCUACCACUGGUUAUUGCAUAUUCUUGGGAUCUUCUUUGAUUUCUUGGAGAUCAAAAAGACAAAAGACGGUUUCCCUAUCUUCAGCUGAAGCAGAAUACAGAGCUAUGACGGGUGCUUAUUGUGAAUUGUCUUGGCUUCGACAUCUUCUCAAAGACCUGAACUUAUCACAUCCAAGGGCUGCAACACUGCAUUGUGACAAUCAAGCAGCUUUACACAUAGCUGCUAACCCAGUUUUCCAUGACAGGACUAGACAUAUAGAGAUUGAUUGUCACUUUGUCAGAGACAAAGUGCAAGAUGGUUCCGUUGUUACAAAACAUGUCUCUUCCUCACAGCAACUAGCAGAUGUGUUCACAAAAGCGUUGGGGAAGGAUGCAUUCUCAAUCAUGUUACGCAAGUUGGGAGUUCUUGACAUACACUCUCCAACUUGAGGGGGAGUGUUGAAAAGAUUAUUCUAAUGGGAGCCAUUUUCUUCUGUUGAAGAUGCUCCACUCACAGUGCAUCGUGGACAUCAUGUCGUGGACAGCAUGCUCUGACUGCAGCAUUGUGGACAGCAAAGAUGCCUCUUCCAAUAUAUUUUUUUAUUGCAUGCGUGUGUAAUAAUAUGUAUAUAAAUCUCUGCUGCCAUUGUAGCAGAACAAUGAAUUAGAAAUAUUCAAUCCAUUUUAUAAA